GAAAAAUUACCUGGCGCGGAGCAGGCGGCGGCUUGCUGCGUUUCUGGCGGUGCUGUGGCGGAGGCCGGUGGCGGUGUCGUGGCUCACGGACGGCGGCUCCAGGCGGCGCUGCGGCUGUUUCCAACGGUUCGGUCCGUUUCCUCUUCUCUUCUUUUUGGUUCGUUCCUCCCUUCCUUCUCUCUCCUUCUUCUUCUCUCUUCCCUUCCCUUUCAAUCUCUCCUUCUCCUGCUUCUUUUUUUUUUUUCUGCCUUUUUUUCUUCUCCUCUGUUUUUCUUUCCUCUGUUUUUGUACUCCCGCACGUCGAAAAUAGUGACAGAACGUUAAGCCACGCAACUUCAUUGUUCCAGUCCAAUUCCAACAGUCUUCGGCCUAAGUUAGCAGCUCUCGAAGGGUUGGGAACUGUGUUUUUGCAUGGAAAAGCGGGGGUAAGGAGCCGUCGAGUAUUUAUCUUUCAAGCUAUGAUAAUGUUGGGAUUAAUAAUUGUGUUGGGAGGAUGAGUUUGAAUUAUCCAAGGUAUAAUUUUUUUAACUUUAAUGGAAAAAUUCUACUUGUGAAUGUGUAUAUUUGGUUUUUGUAAAAUUUGUGCUUUUAUUUUAUUUCAAUGAUAUGAUCAUAUGUUAUUUUUUU